ensembl:snoRNA
GUCCUUUGUGGUUCAUAAGUGUAAUGAUUGGGUGUUCAUGCUGCUGUGUGAGAUACACCUCUCUCUAAGCCUUGCUAUAACAUUGGCACAUUACCCGUCUGACA